rnacentral:lncRNA from 1 species
GUGGAAAAAUAUAUCGCAUACUCGGGAAUAAACUAAAAAUACUUGGAAAUAAAGAUAUUUCAAGUUUUAAAUAUAUUUAUGACAGAAACAAACUGUUAUAAAACGCCAAACGGAUUAUAUCAUGAUAACAAACCCGCCCCGAUGUUUUAAACCAUACUAUACGGGCAGAGACAUAUAUAUGUUCCAGACCGUAUGAGUAUUUGGACCGUACGCGUACGGUCUGGACCGUAUGCGUACUUUUUCGAAAUACUCAUACGGUCGGACCGUACGCGUACGGUCUGACUAAUAUCAAGGAGUUGGUCAAUUGUACUAGAUACAAAUACAUAUAACAGAUCAACAUAACUUAACUCUCAAAUAAAUAGAAAAAAAAAUCAAUUGUAAUUGAAAUAAAAACUUUACAUUUUAACUAUUUAAAAAAUUCAUGCUAAUUAAAUCUGUAAAUCUCUAGUAUUUAGCAUGUAGAUCAGUAAUACAUAAUACACUAAUUGAAUUAUGACAAUUAUUCUCACUGAAAUUGAAUGCGAAUAAUGUGGGAGGACAAUUGCUUUAGAAUAUUUAGCAACUUUUCAAAAAAAUGCUAAUCGAAAGGAACAUGCAUGAACUGAAAAAAUGUAAAUAUGAAAAAUAUACUUUUGGUAGCGAGUGUCACCUUUGGCGAGAGUUUCAAAAUAGGAUUCAGAUAUACAAUUAAACAAAUAUCUAAUUUAAAUUGUUAG